UGGGGGAUAUUGCACAAUGGGGGAAACCCUGAUGCAGCGACGCCGCGUGAUUUAGAAGGCCUUCGGGUUGUAAAAAUCUUUUCUAUGGGAAGAAAAUGACAGUACCAUAGGAAUAAGGACCGGCUAAUUACGUGCCAGCAGCCGCGGUAAUACGUAAGGUCCGAGCGUUGUCCGGAAUCAUUGGGCGUAAAGGGUACGUAGGCGGGUAAGCAAGUUAGAAGUGAAAUCCUAUAGCUCAACUAUAGUAAGCUUUUAAAACUGCUCAUCUUGAGGUAUGGAAGGGAAAGUGGAAUUCCUAGUGUAGCGGUGAAAUGCGCAGAUAUUAGGAGGAAUACCGGUGGCGAAGGCGACUUUCUGGCCAUAACCUGACGCUGAGGUACGAAAGCGUGGGUAGCAAACAGG
rnacentral:rRNA from 1 species